rnacentral:rRNA from 1 species
AGGGUUCGAUUCUAGCUCAGGAUGAACGCUAGCUACAGGCUUAACACAUGCAAGUCGAGGGGCAGCAUUGGAGUAGCAAUACUUCAGAUGGCGACCGGCGCACGGGUGAGUAACACGUAUCCAACCUGCCGCUUACUCGGGGAUAGCCUUUCGAAAGAAAGAUUAAUACCCGAUGGUAUAAAGAGUUCGCAUGUUCUCUUUAUUAAAGAAUUUCGGUAAGCGAUGGGGAUGCGUUCCAUUAGAUAGUUGGCGGGGUAACGGCCCACCAAGUCUACGAUGGAUAGGGGUUCUGAGAGGAAGGUCCCCCACAUUGGAACUGAGACACGGUCCAAACUCCUACGGGAGGCAGCAGUGAGGAAUAUUGGUCAAUGGACGAGAGUCUGAACCAGCCAAGUAGCGUGAAGGAUGACUGCCCUAUGGGUUGUAAACUUCUUUUAUAAGGGAAUAAAGUGAGGGACGUGUCCCUUUUUGUAUGUACCUUAUGAAUAAGGAUCGGCUAACUCCGUGCCAGCAGCAGC